GCCAGGUGUGGUGGCGCACGCCUGUAAUCCUGGCUACUCAGGAGGCUGAGGCAGCAGAAUUGCUUGAACCUGGGAGGUGGAGGUUGCAGUGAGACGGGAUUGAGUCACUGCACUCCAGCCUGGGUGACAGAGCAAGACUCUGUCUCAA
rnacentral:SRP_RNA from 2 species